GAGUUUGAUCCUGGCUCAGAUUGAACGCUGGCGGCAGGCCUAACACAUGCAAGUCGAGCAGAUGACGGGAGCUUGCUCCUUGAUUCAGCGGCGGACGGGUGAGUAAUGCCUAGGAAUCUGCCUGGUAGUGGGGGACAACGUUUCGAAAGGAACGCUAAUACCGCAUACGUCCUACGGGAGAAAGCAGGGGACCUUCGGGCCUUGCGCUAUCAGAUGAGCCUAGGUCGGAUUAGCUAGUUGGUGGGGUAAUGGCUCACCAAGGCGACGAUCCGUAACUGGUCUGAGAGGAUGAUCAGUCACACUGGAACUGAGACACGGUCCAGACUCCUACGGGAGGCAGCAGUGGGGAAUAUUGGACAAUGGGCGAAAGCCUGAUCCAGCCAUGCCGCGUGUGUGAAGAAGGUCUUCGGAUUGUAAAGCACUUUAAGUUGGGAGGAAGGGCAGUAAGUUAAUACCUUGCUGUUUUGACGUUACCGACAGAAUAAGCACCGGCUAACUCUGUGCCAGCAC
rnacentral:rRNA from 1 species